GGAAUUGUUCGCAAUGGGCGCAAGCCUGACGACGCAACGCCGCGUGGAGGAUGAAGAUCUUCGGGUCGUAAACUCCUGUCGAGCGGGAAGAACACCUUUCGGGCGAAUAUCCCGGAGGGCUGACGGUACCGCCAAAGGAAGCCCCGGCUAACUCCGUGCCAGCAGCCGCGGUAAUACGGGGGGGGCAAGCGUUGUUCGGAAUUACUGGGCGUAAAGAGCUCGUAGGCGGCUCGGUAAGUGAGGUGUGAAAACUCCAGGCUCAACCUGGAGACGCCACCUCAUACUGCCGUGGCUAGAGUCCGGUAGGGGAGCAUGGAAUUCCUGGUGUAGCGGUGAAAUGCGCAGAUAUCAGGAGGAACACCAGUGGCGAAGGCGGUGCUCUGGGCCGGAACUGACGCUGAGGAGCGAAAGCGUGGGGAGCAAAC
rnacentral:rRNA from 1 species